rnacentral:rRNA from 1 species
CCUACGGGAGACUGCAGUGAGGAAUAUUGGUCAAUGGGCGCGAGCCUGAACCAGCCAAGUCGCGUGAGGGAAGACGGUCCUAUGGAUUGUAAACCUCUUUUGUCGGGGAGCAAAGUACGCCACGCGUGGCGUUCCGCGAGUACCCUAUGAAAAAGCAUCGGCUAACUCCGUGCCAGCAGCCGCGGUAAUACGGAGGAUGCGAGCGUUAUCCGGAUUUAUUGGGUUUAAAGGGUGCGCAGGCGGACGAUCAAGUCAGCGGUAAAAUUUAGGGGCUCAACCUCGUCGAGCCGUUGAAACUGGGGGGCUUGAGUGAGUGAGAAGUAGGCGGAAUGCGUGGUGUAGCGGUGAAAUGCAUAGAUAUCACGCAGAACCCCGAUUGCGAAGGCAGCAUACCGGGGCUCAACUGACGCUCAUGCACGAAAGUGUGGGUAUCGAACAGGAUUAGAUACCCGUGUAGUC